rnacentral:tRNA from 1 species
GUUUUAAUAGUUUAAUAAAAACAUUGGUCUUGUAAACCAAAAAUAAGAAUUUAUCUUUUAAAAUU